ACCAAACGUGUGACUAAUUGGCCACACUUCCACCAAAGGCUCGGCGGCAGAUGCGCUGCGGUUCGCUUCCCUCGCUCCCGCGGAGGCCAGCGGUUUGGCUGCGAGGAGCGGAGGUUCUACGUGAGCCCGGAGAGCAGGACGAGGAAACUCCCGGGGAUGGCCGGAGAGCGAGUCCUUGCGGAGCAGGAGAAUUUGGAUCCUGGACGCGGCGGCAGCACCCGGAGAAUUACCAGGAGAUUAUCAGUACAUAAAUUAAGAGAUACUGGAGGCUCUGAAAUUAGGACCCUGAAUUAGCCUGCUCUUUAUCAUGUCGGCUUCGUGGUUUUAGAACUUGACAUCUAAUUAAAAUAUAAUUUGAUAUGGUCAGCGAAAGGCUCCAGCUCACCCAGCCCUUUACCAGAGGGAAGAGCUGCUUUUUGCAUGCAACAGGAGGUUUUCUUUCUUCCUCGUUGUAUUUCCUAAUGGUGUGCUGGGGAGUGCGUGGGAAAGAAAAGGACAUAAUUAGAGCGAAGGCAGGAGGAUGAUUCCCGGCUGGAUUUUAUUACAAAACUCUGAGCCUGUUGCUCGAGGGCUCCUGUCUCCCCCACUUUCUCCUCGUAGGCAUAAAACCCACGGAACUAGAAGUGAUUUUAAAAGUCAUUUAGUGCAACUUUCACAUUUUAUAGAUGAGGAUUCUGAGGCCAACAGAGGUGAAGUAAUUUGCCUACGGCCACACGUCUCUUUGGUGGCCGAUUUAGGACUAGAAAUCAAACAGAACAUCCACCUCUAUUACCAUUUAUACUUCCUCACUGGUGCUCCAGCUGAUGUUGAAGAAACACUAGCACAGGGGUUCACAGUUACCUGCUGGUUGUAGAGUUUGUUCAAUCCUGAUUAUUUAAACAGCAAAAUAAUCCACUUGAUUGUAAAUUUGCUAGAGAAAUACAGCAUUCUAAUUUGCCAGCGUAGAUCCUGGCUUGAGGGUAAUUGACUAUGUAAAAAUCUGAACAUUUGCAUUAAUUCAAUCUUGUCAUUUUCCAAAUGAUGAGAAAUGAGAGUGAAUAUAGUUUUCUUUAGCAGGAAUGCUUUUCUGAAAGAAGAGGCUGUUUCUCUAGAUUCAAGUUAAACAGAAAUGCUAUUCAUAUUGAUUUUGUGUCUGUCAAAUCUGUGUCUUACACUUAUUAAAGAUAGAAAACAUUCUGGCUUUAAAGUGUAAAAUAUAUUUAGAAAACUCAGUGUUCCACUGAGGUUCACUCAUCACCAAUGUGUUUUAUGUUGGGGAAAUGUUUGAGCUUUUCUUUUACUACUCAGAUUGUGAUUUUUAUACUUCUUUCUUUGUGAUUGCUUGAUGAAAGGCCAGGGGAUAAAAAUUAAUGUAGCAUCUUCACAAGAAAAUUAUGAUUAUUCAGAAAGACAUGAAUAUGUCUUUGAUCAUCUACUACUUAGAAUAAUCUUUGCUCCUGUGUUUCUCCAUGAAAACAGACGAUUAGAGUUGAUUAUACUUAUUUAGAAACUAUCUCCAACUUUCACAUGCCAAUGAAAACAAAGCCAUAGAACUCCUUUUUCUUAAGUUUUAAUCAAAUAUUUAGAAAACUGGAAAUGAAACUAAUAGAAGAAAUUAAGAUCAGAUGUGAGCAAAACACUUCAUGCAUUAACAAUCUUGAAAGUUCCUUAUUGAUAAAUGGCUUAGUUCAGAUAGAAAAAUACUUAUUUUUUUUUCCUUGAUGAUGAUGUGUGUAAUGAAGAGUGAUCAUGACACUGAUGGACCAUGGAGGGAUUGACCAGAAAUCAAAUCAAGCGAGGAUGUAAUGGCUUUAUAAUAAUACAAUGGGAUUGUCUGUGGAAUCGUUUUAUCAACUAUGUGAUAUGGCCAAAUAAAUGAAGAAGUGACUCUGUCAUUUACAAGGAAUCAGCCUUGGGAAAGUUGCUUCAACUCCAUUUGCUUCAGACUGCAAGCACAAAUGAACAAAUGGACUGUGGCAUGAUGGUGUGUCAGCAUGGGUGAAGGAAUCCACCUCUCUUUGCUUGGAUUAUGAAGAGCCAUCUCCAAGAUAUGCAUGAAUAGAAACAUACAUUUCUCCUUGUUUUGCUUCUCUUCAGGCUGGCUAGAAAGUAGAUGUGAUCAUCUGAGCUCAGGCAGCCAUCUUGGACCAUGAGGUAGUAAAACAUAAGAACAGAAGGAACCUGGGCCUUGAUGACCCUGUGGGUAUGAGGCAGCUUCCCUUUUGAUAUACCAGAGAGAAACCAACUUUUAUCUUGUUUAAGUCAGAAGUUUUUUUGGUGGUGGUCUUGAUGUAAGCUGAAUCAAAUAUUACUAUGCAUGUUUAAAAAGAUUAGCUUUGUGGUUUUUAAAAUUAAUUUAUUUUAAUUGGAGGCUAAUUACUUUACAAUAUUGUGGUGGUUUUUGCCAUACAUCGACAUGAAUCAGCCAUGGGUACACAUGUCUCCCCCCAU